UAGCAUAGAGAGAGAGAGAGAGAGAGAGAGAGAGAGAGAGAGAAUGGUCACCUUUAAACCCUCUCAUCCAACAACUACAGCUGUGUUCCAGAAAUGACCAUCACCAACAGACCCCAUCCAUUCACAUCCUCCACUCUCUCUCUGUCUCUUCGCGUUACUUUUACUUUCUUUUGAAACCAAAUCAUUUUUUUUUUUUAUUUCAUUCCUUCAAAUAUGGUGCCUUCUUCCAUAUCAGAACCAAACACAACCGAAAGCACCUUCUUUGUGUCAAAGGGUUAGUCAUAUAUACAGCUAUAAUGAACAAGAUCCGGAAGCUAUCAUCUUUUGAGGGGAAUGCUGCGUGGUCCAAGGAAAUCGAUAAUAUAUAACUCCACCUUCACAUCAGAUCAUUCAGAUGCAAUAAUUCUAUAUUACAUCUGCAGAUUAUGUUUUGUCUCCUCGGACCAGGCUUCAUUCCCCUCAAUUACAGCUUCCAUCAUCAAAAUCACGAUCCUCUCUAGCAAUUAAUUCUUUGUGAGUGGAAGACAUUGAUGUAGAAGGAUAGUAAGUUGAAGCAUAUUGUGUGACAAAAUAUUCUGUAGAAUAGAUUCUAUUUUAUUGCUAUCUUUUCUUUCUUUAUAAAAAGGAGACGUCUUUCUGCUGUC